rnacentral:tRNA from 1 species
GGAGGAUUCGCCUAGUGGCCUAGGGCGCACGCUUGGAAAGCGUGUUGGUGGCAACGCCUCAGGAGUUCGAAUCUCCUAUCCUCCG